UAAAUAAUAUAUAUAUAUAUAUAUAUUUUAAUAAUUUAAGCUUUUAGAGUAUAACGAUUAUUUCAUAUGAUAUCAGAGCAAGAGGUUCUGAGUUCGAGUCACGCUAGACUUCUAACAUUAUUAAUUUUCUCUAAGUUAAUUUAAGUCAUUUCGAGCCAAGACGUGAGGCAGAGUGUUAAAAUUAUUAAUUUUUUCUCAUUUAAUUUAAGCCGACGUUAUGCGCUUUGCAAAAAAUUCGAGCUCACAGCCCAGAUGUGAGGGGAGUGUUAAGAUUAUUAAUUUUCUCUCAUUUAAUUUAAGUUCACGUUAUGGGCAUUACAAAAAUCUCGAGUCCAGAUGUGAGGGGAAAAAUCUUGAGCCCAGAUGUGAGAGAGAAUGUUAAGAAAAAUAUUAAAUAUAGAAAAAUAUAUAAACACCGUUUUCUAACAACUUAAAUUUUUAGAGUACAACGAUUGUUUCACAAAUACUGAUAAAAAAUUAUUUUUUUUCCUACAAACCGAACACUACAAAACGUUAAAAAAAAAAAAACCAAAAAUUACUUUUUGCAGUUUCACGUU
rnacentral:lncRNA from 1 species